GUAUACAACUAACAGCCAGUAAAGAAACGGCCUGUAGCCUGUCAUCUAGAUGGCCCAUUAACACAUGUUUGUAGUUAUAUGUGUUAUGUAAAUGUACACAUGAUUUAAAAAGUUCAAAGGUAUAAAAUUAAAAAUCUACUCACUUUCCUAUCUCUACUGAAUCCCAGUCUCUCUAUAAAUGUUCUAGUACUUACUACCUUAGGAAAAUAGUUUUGAGCUUUUACUUAAUGGUCUGUGUAUAUGAAAGUUACACUGAAGCGGUCAUGCUGUCCCUCCUGAGAAAUUCCUGCCAUAUGUGUCUGUGUGCUCUUCCUUGUUUGACAGUUCCACAGAAUUUCAUUCUGCGGAUGGAACAGUUUCUGUAAUCCUUCUGCUCUUGGUGGACACUUGUUUCCAGUUCUGUAUAUAAUUAUAGUCUGCACUGUUGUGAACAUGCUUUGGCAUAAUAUUCCAAAGACACACAGGUCAAAUUCUUUGUAAUUUCUGGGUCUCUGGGUCUCAUAUGUGCAUUUAAGGCUUUGAUGGAUGUUGUCAGAUUGCUCUCCAGUAGGUGGGGGUGUUUGUUUCCUGCAUACUCACCAGUACCAGUGUCAAGUGGCUUUUUUUCUUUUACCAGUCUUAGAUGUGAUACAUACUCCCAUCAUUUUUACUUGUUUGAACUGUAUUUGAGUGAUCAUCUGGGCCAGGCCACAAGGCAAGCCCUUUGCUUAUGUUAGGACAUCUUAACAUUAUGCCCCUGAGGUAUAAAGAGAAAAUGGGACUAAGGUCCUCAGCCUUGCCGCAUUUAAAGAUUGCCAGACAGUCAAGGGCAACAUCAUCAUGUUGGUCACUUAAAUCUUCCAGUGUCUGUCUCUUUAUAAACAAUCCUCUGGUGACCUCCUUUGUGCUCACAGCUUUUUCCUUCUUUGGGUAAAUUUCCAGGAGGGGGAUGUCGGAGUGAUAGUGUAUAAUCUUUUGGAAUUUUUAAGGGGUCUGGUUGGCUGGUCCUGUCUCUGUUCAUUGAAUCUGUCAGCCAAGGCUGGCCCUAUGGUGUCCUCUGGCCAUCCCAGUCCUUCCAGGGGGUCAGUCCAUUUAUUGGCUUCAGGUUAGCUCCCUGGUCUCUGAAACUGCCACCUUGCUUCCCCUCGCUGGAGUUGAGAUCUUGUGGCGGACUCUGGUGAUGUCUGUCAGGCGUCUGCCUUUGCUUUCUUGGGCCUUUGGGAUUUGGGGCCUCUUCCCCCACAGGAUAGCCCUUCCUGGCUCUAGGCUGGGGAGUGUUUUCCUGGAUUGAAGUCAGAUCUAGCUUGCUUUAGGGCUGAAGAAAGACUCUGAUGAGGUUUAUUGUGUGUGGGGGAGGGGGUAUUUGCUGGCUACUUGUGUCCUGAGUCCCCAUCCUUCCUUCAGUGCCCCACUGAAGGAUUCCCACUCUCCCCAGUGGAGGGCUGAGCCUCUUGGAGGGAGGGCCUCUACAUCACUAGGUGGGAACCUCAGGUCCAUGAUCUGUCACUAGCAAUGUGGCUAUGGGUAGCCCUCUUAGUCUCUCUGUGCCUCCAUGUUCCUUUGGAAGAGAACUCAGGGUGUCUGAUUCUGUCUCCCUGUUGUUGGGUGUGGGGGGCUUUGUGGCAGGGAUGUCAGCACUCAAGGCCUGGGUGGAGCAUCUGGGAGGGCAACAGCCUCCAAGAGCUAAACUGGGGAUCAGUGUCCUUGUGGACAUGGGCCUUGCCCUCUGGCCUGCAGGUUGGACCUCUUUUGGUGCUAAAUUAACAGAUUUGCCCUGAGCCCCUCUCAGUGACAGAUUUAGUUCUGCGGGACCAUCUUCCAUCCAUGACCUCAGCCUGCUUGUCCCACCACCGGCUGUCUCCCAUGUCAAUCCCCUGAGGCACUGGGGACUUUGUCCAGGAAUUGAAUGGAGUGGCAUCAAGCAGAUAUCUGUCCUGAGAGAGGCCUGUGCCCUCUAGACUGGGUGGUGCCCAGACUGAAGCCUCAUCCUUAUGGAGCUGAAACAAGCUGAUACCCAACAUCCUCGCAGGCCCAGGCCACUUCCCACUCCUGUGCUGCUGCUUUGCUGAGCCUGGUGCUAUGUGAUGGGAAGGGACAGAGAUGACCUCCCCUGCUUCCAAUCUGGAGCUUUUUCCAGAACAGUGGGCAUAUACUCAAGCCAGUAAUGCAUUCACCUUUAGGGGAAUCCAAGGGGAGCCACCUUGAAUCAGGGCCAUUUGGAGACAGACCCCCUAAGGAGGUCCAGGAGAACAGCCUGGUGUGUGUGUCAGGGCCCAGAGCCUGCCCAGGGGACCAGAAAGGUUUAGAAUCUAGGGGUUGCCAGUAAUUUCUUUCAUCCUGUGAAGCUGUCCUUCCACAGUUUCCUGGCCUCUACUGAUACUGUGAAGUCAGCGGUGUCACUCCCUCCUGUGAAGGUAAAGGUAAUGUCUCUUUUUUUACUCUGCUGCUUUUAAGAUUUUCUCUUUGUCUUAGAUUUUCUGCAGUUCAAUAUACCAUGUCUGGGGCAGGAUUUCUUUUUAUUUAUCCUGUUUGGAAUUUGUUGGCAUUCUUGCAUCUGUAGACUGCUGUCUUUUAUCAGCUCUAGAAAAUUCUCAGUCAUUAUCUCUUCAAAUAAUACCCUUCUCAUACUUUUGUCAUUUGAAACUAUGAUGAAAUGUAUGUUUGACUUUGUCAGCUUUUCAGUCUAUCUUCCAGGUAUUUUAAUCUUUCUUCUAUAUUUUCUAUCUUUUUUUCUUUUUCUCUGCUGCAUUCUGGUUAAUCAUUUUUUUUAUUAAAAUUUCUUUUUUAA